AGCAGCCGCGGUAAUUCCAGCUCCAAUAGCGUAUAUUAAAGUUGUUGCAGUUAAAAAGCUCGUAGUUGAAUUUCGGGAUCAAUACAUCUGUCGUGCCUUUGGUACGUACGGGUGUAAUUGGUUUCUACCUUCUGAGGAUCCUUGAUGUCAUUAAUUUGGUGUCUUGGGGAAUCAGGACUGUUACCUUGAAAAAAUUAGAGUGUUUAAAGCAGGCAUACGCUUGAAUACAUUAGCAUGGAAUAAUGAAAUAGGACGUUCGAUUCUAUUUUGUUGGUUUUCUAGGAUCGACGUAAUGAUUAAUAGGGAUAGUUGGGGGCAUUAGUAUUCAAUUGUCAGAGGUGAAAUUCUUGGAUUUAUUGAAGACUAACUACUGCGAAAAGCAUUUGCCAAGGAUGUUUUCAUUAAUCAAGAACGAAAGUUAGGGGAUCGAAGACGAUCAGAUACCGUCGUAGUCUUAACCAUAAACUAUGCCGACUAGGGAUCGGAUGAUGUUAAUUUUUAAUGACUCAUUCGGCGCCUU
rnacentral:rRNA from 1 species